GACGAACGCUGGCGGCGUGCUUAACACAUGCAAGUCGAACGGUGAAGCGCCUUCCUUUUUGGUGGGUGUGGAUGAGUGGCGAACGGGUGAGUAACACGUGAGUAACCUGCCCCCUUCUUCUGGAUAACCGCAUGAAAGUGUGGCUAAUACGGGAUAUUCUGGGUCUGUCGCAUGAUGGGUCUGGGAAAGAUAUUGUUUCGGUGGGGGAUGGGCUCGCGGCCUAUCAGGUUGUUGGUGGGGUGAUGGCCUACCAAGGCUGUGACGGGUAGCCGGCCUGAGAGGGUGGACGGUCACACUGGGAAUACGACACGGCCCAGACUACGACGGGAGGCAGCAGUGGGGAAUAUUGCACAAUGGGAGCAAGCAUGAUGCAGCGACGCCGCGUGAGGGAUGGAGGCCUUCGGGUUGUGAACCUCUUUCGCCAGUGAAGCAGGCCUGCCUCGUUUGUGGGUGGGUUGACGGUAGCUGGAUAAGAAGCGCCGGCUAACUACGUG
rnacentral:rRNA from 1 species